rnacentral:misc_RNA from 1 species
AACUUUUGACAAUGGAUCACUUGGCUCUCGCAUCGAUGAAGAACGCAGCGAAAUGCGAUACGCAAUGUGAAUUGCAGAAUUCAGUGAAUCAUCGAAUCUUUGAACGCACCUUGCGCCCCUUGGCAUUCCGAGGGGCACACCCGUUUGAGUGUCGUGAAAUUCUCAAACCUUCUUGGUUUCUUGAUCAAGAUGGCUUUGGACUUUGGAGGCAUUUUGCUGGCUUUCCGAAAAGCCAGCUCCUCUUAAAUACAUUAGUGGGAUCCCCUUUGCCGAUCCCCAGGCGUGAUAAGGUAUUUCUACGUCUUGGGAUUUGCUCUGUUCCUUGGGAACCCGCUUCCAACCGUCUCAUGGGAGACAUCGUUCGAGUUUGCUCGACCCACGAACCUUGACCUCAAAUCGGGUGAGACUACCCGCUGAACUUAAGCAUAUCAAUAAGCGGAGGCU